GAUGAGCGCUAGCGGCAGGCCUAAUACAUGCAAGUCGGACGGGAUUCAGGAGCUUGCUUCUGAUGAGAGUGGCGCACGGGUGCGUAGCACGUAUGUAACCUACCUUUAUCAGGGGGAUAGCCUCUCGAAAGAGAGAUUAAGCCCGCAUAAAAUCACAGCACAGCAUUGUGUAAUGAUCAAAUAUUUAUAGGAUAAAGAUGGGCAUGCGGAACAUUAGCUAGAUGGCGGGGUAACGGCCCACCAUGGCGACGAUGUUUAGGGGAUCUGAGAGGAUGGCCCCCCACACUGGUACUGAGACACGGACCAGACUCCUACGGGAGGCAGCAGUAAGGAAUAUUGGUCAAUGGGCGGAAGCCUGAACCAGCCAUGCCGCGUGCAGGAAGACGGCCCUACGGGUUGUAAACUGCUUUUAUACGGGAAUAAACCCAGAUACGUGUAUCUGGCUGAAUGUACUGUAAGAAUAAGGAUCGGCUAACUCCGUG
rnacentral:rRNA from 1 species